rnacentral:tRNA from 1 species
AAGAAAGUGGCAGAGUGGUUAUGCGACUGGCUUGAAACCAGUACAUGGGGGUUCAAUUCCUUCCUUUCUCG